rnacentral:rRNA from 1 species
UACGAGGGGGGCAAGUGUUGUUCGGAAUCACUGGGCGUAAAGGGCGCGUAGGCGGAUGUUUAAGUCGGGAGUUUAAAACCGGGGCCCAACCCCGGAGCGGCUCCCGAAACUGGGCAUCUUGAAUAGGUCAGAGGCUGGUGGAAUUGGAGGUGUAGCGGUGGAAUGCGUAGAGAUCUCCAAGAACACCUAUUGCGAAGGCAGCCAGCUGGGACCAUAUUGACGCUGAGGCUCGAAAGCAUGGGGAGCAAACAGG